rnacentral:rRNA from 1 species
UACGUAGGGUGCAAGCGUUAAUCGGAAUUACUGGGCGUAAAGCGUGCGCAGGCGGCUUUGCAAGGCAGAUGUGAAAUCCCCGGGCUCAACCUGGGAACUGCAUUUGUGACUGCAAGGCUAGAGUACGGUAGAGGGGGAUGGAAUUCCGCGUGUAGCAGUGAAAUGCGUAGAUAUGCGGAGGAACACCGAUGGCGAAGGCAAUCCCCUGGACCUGUACUGACGCUCAUGCACGAAAGCGUGGGGAGCAAACAGG